CGGAAGUCUGACCGAGCAACGCCGCGUGAGUGAAGAAGGUUUUCGGAUCGUAAAGCUCUGUUGUAAGAGAAGAACGAGUGUGAGAGUGGAAAGUUCACACUGUGACGGUAUCUUACCAGAAAGGGACGGCUAACUACGUGCCAGCAGCCGCGGUAAUACGUAGGUCCCGAGCGUUGUCCGGAUUUAUUGGGCGUAAAGCGAGCGCAGGCGGUUAGAUAAGUCUGAAGUUAAAGGCUGUGGCUUAACCAUAGUACGCUUUGGAAACUGUUUAACUUGAGUGCAAGAGGGGAGAGUGGAAUUCCAUGUGUAGCGGUGAAAUGCGUAGAUAUAUGGAGGAACACCGGUGGCGAAAGCGGCUCUCUGGCUUGUAACUGACGCUGAGGCUCGAAAGCGUGGGGAGCAAACAGGAUUAGAUACCCUGGUAGUCCACGCCGUAAACGAUGAGUGCUAGGUGUUAAGACCCUUUUCCGGGGUUUAGUGCCGCAGCUAACGCAUUAAGCACUCCGCCUGGGGAG
rnacentral:rRNA from 1 species